rnacentral:lncRNA from 1 species
GGUGUACGAGACUUAGAUCCAAAUUAGAUAAAAUCAUAAUAAGUAGCAUGUUAAAUAAUAAAAAUCAGCAUGUAUAAGAGAUAAGAGGUGAUCUUAUCACCAUGCACGGGUAGAUGAUCUCCGUGAUUGUUGAUCUAAUGAUCUCCAAGGUUCGCUAUGGAGCCGCACAUGUGCCCGAUUUCUAUAGGUAUCCACUCAUGUUUGAUCUAGGAU